ensembl:lncRNA
GGGAGAUCGUGGAGAAGGUCAGCCUGGCCCCAGGGGACCCCCAGGGCCUCCAGGACCCCCAGGACCAGGACUUAGAUCUGUGAGUUGGUUCUGGCCCCUGUUAGAUCCUGUUUGAUGUAUACUUUGUUGAACAUGGCUGAUUUCACAUCAUGUGUUUCAGACCUUCGUGGACAUGGAGGGCUCAGGAUACCCUGAUCUUGAAUCCAUUCGGGGACUGCCAGGGCUACCGGGUCCCCCUGGUCCUCCCGGUCCCCCUGGUGUUGCUGGAUCCUCUACAGGCAGUGCAGCAUCAAGCUCUGGAGCAUUUGGACCAGCAGGAAAAGACGGGGCACCUGGUCAGCCUGUAAGCACUGAGCUUCUUGUCUCUCAACACCCGCAGCCAGCUAACCCUCAAACUGUCUGGAUAGUGAUACUAAUGUCUAACCAAAUCAGCUACUGUAUAUCUGAACCCAAUCUUUUGGCAUGUAGGGCUUGCCUGGUUUACCGGGUACUGAUGGCCUCCCAGGAGCUCCUGGUCCUCAGGGAGAAAAGGU